AUUGAACGCUGGCGGCAUGCCUUACACAUGCAAGUCGAACGGCAGCACGGGGGGUAACCCCUGGUGGCGAGUGGCGAACGGGUGAGUAAUAUAUCGGAACGUGUCCUGUAGCGGGGGAUAACCUAUCGAAAGAUGGACUAAUACCGCAUACGACCUACGGGUGAAAGCGGAGGACCGCAAGGCUUCGCACUAUAGGAGCGGCCGAUAUCGGAUUAGCUAGUUGGCGGGGUAACGGCCCACCAAGGCGACGAUCCGUAGCUGGUCUGAGAGGACGAUCAGCCCCCCUGAACCUGGGACACGGUCCAGACUCCACCGGAGGGCAGCGGUGGGAAUUUUUGGCCAAUGGGCGCAACCCUGUCCAGCCAUGCCGCGUGAGUGAAGAAGGCCUUCGGGUUGUAAAGCUCUUUCGGCGGGGACGAAACGGUUCGUGCUAAUACCACGGACUACUGACGGUACCCGCAGAAGAAGCACCGGCUAACUACGUG
rnacentral:rRNA from 1 species